GCCAGGCCCACGACUAUAUAUAUAACGCAGGAGACGCACUAGGGUUCAGGGCCUUCAGACUCGUCACUCACGUCAAAACCCUUGAGAGAGCUCCGCCGUCGUUUUGAAGUAGCAUCACCUUUCCCCGCCCAAGAUGAGGGCCAAGUGGAAGAAGAAGAGGAUGAGGAGAUUGAAGAGGAAGCGCCGAAAGAUGAGACAGAGAUCGAAGUAGGCACCUGUUGGGUCUUCUCAAUCUGCAUCUUGCUUCUGCUGCUGCUGGAGUGUUUUUGUAGACUGGAGCCUUGUAGGAUGUUUAUGAGUGAUUAGUUCUCUUCUAUUGAGAUUGGAACUAUGACUAUCUUUUAUGUUUUGAAUUUAGUAUUUUAAAUUAUGUGUUUCGAACUUAAUGGCUCUACUAGUUUUUUUUAUGUGAGUUGAUGGAUUUUAUUUCUUAUAGUUUUAGUAUGACGCUGAAUGUUUAUGUUAUGUUUCUGAUUGAUUGAUUGU